rnacentral:misc_RNA from 1 species
ACCUGAUAGAAUCAAGGCCUUGGUCAACACCAGCGUUGCCUUCUCCCCCAGGAAUCCACAGCUAAAGCCUUUGGAGGGGCUCAGGGCGGUUUACGGCGAUGAUUACUACAUCUGCAGGUUUCAGGAACCAAUAGAGGCUCAUGAGGAGUUUGCUGGAGUCGAUACUGCAACAAUGUUAAGAACUAUUUUUACAAUUCGCGAUCCUAACCCACCUCGUCUACCAAAGGGAAAAGUAUACAGAGCAUUACCAGAUCUUCCCUACAGCUUGCCCUCUUGGCUAACUGAAGAAGAUAUCAAUUACUACGCUAUCAAAUUUAACCAGAAAGGUUUCACUGGGGGAUUGAAUUAUUACCGAAGCGUCAACUUAGCCUGGGAGCUGAUGGCGCCGUGGACAGGAGCAGUAAUCAAAGUACCAGUUAAGUUCAUUGUAGGGGACCUGGACACCGCCUACCAUCUUCCUGGUGUAAAGGAUUACUUAGCAAACGGUGGGUUUAAAAAAGAUGUGCCACUUUUGCAAGAAGUGGUGAUAAUGGAAGGAGUGGGCCAUUUCAUUAACCAAGAAAAAGCGGAGGAAGUCGCCCAACAUAUUUAUGACUUUAUAAAAAAGUUCUGACCAGGAAUUGGUCGGCAUCUCUCUUCAUGCGUGGCCUCUAGCUGCUUGCUUCCAUGUCACAAUAUUUUUCAAUUUAAAUCUCUUCCUAGUCAACACUACGUCAUAGCUUAGUGGGAAUAAAGUGUUCAAGUAGUUUUUUUUUUAAGCUAACUAUAAUAUAAUGAGUUUCCUUUGUCUGUAUUCCUUGGCAUUUGGCUGACGUAUUGCUUAUGGUUGGAUCUCCAUAAAAAGGCGUAAAGGCAA